rnacentral:lncRNA from 1 species
AUCAGAUGUCAUGUCAUGUCAUGUAAUGUAUGUUUUAACCAUUUAUGUCAUGUUUGAUUCCAAAUCCAUCCCCUGUCUGCUACUCGAUGCUCUGGUGAUGAGUCACGUCAACUCAAUCGCAGGGUACGUCACGUCCCUUACCAUACGCAUGUACCAUACAGGCACAAAUGGUAUGGAUGUCAUGUAAAUUUUUUCUGGUGAGAUUGUCUUGUUGUGACAAUGGACUGCACAUGGCCAAGGGGGAAACCCAUCUUUCUGCACCAAUUCAAUGGCGUGUGUAGCAGGUUUUCCUGGCAUUCAAUAAAAUUGAUAUGCCAAAAGUGAACCACUUGUUUUAUUUUGCUUUUUAUCAUCCAUGGAAAUUGGCAAAACUAACUGAAAAUUUUAGUAGAUGAUUUAGGGUUAAACCCAUUAAAACAAUAUAAAAUUUGAUUUUAGAAGGGUUGAAUAAAUAAAUUGAAGUCAACUCAAAACAGCAAGAAGAUGAAGAUAUAUAUGAUAAAGAAAAGAAUGAUAAUGACAACUUGUUGAUUUCUUACCUCACAAGGUCCAUGAAAACACAAAGAGACAACAAGAUAAAAGGGUUUUCAUCUUUUGAUCUUAAAAUCAAAAAGACCCAAGUCAGAAAUAGGGCUUUCAAGUAGAACAAUCAUGAACAUCUCCUAAUUACCAUUUUCCAUGCAAUUAAUUCACCAAAGGCCAUCAAAGCACAUGACACCUAACCUAACACACAGUCCUUUUCAUUUCAUCUAAACUAGAAAACUUUCUAAGACCCUCCAUCAGACACAAAAAUAAAAACUAUUUAAAAAACAAAAAACAAAAUUUCAGCUCUCAUUUUCAAGCUUUUAUGGGACUAAUGGGGAGUAAAGAAAAGGUGGGGAGGAGUUAAU